AUAAACCUGAUUCUGUUCAUACCGUUUGCCCAGUCCCGCCAAUUCAAGCACCUAACGAACUUUUGCCUUCUCCCUCCUUAUGUCUCUACACCCAUUUUAUGUCUCGCUCUCUUUUCAAUCGCACCUUCUGCACAUUUCCAUGGAACCCAAGAACCCAUAUUUUUCAGUGCAACAAAAGAAUCCACGAGCUGCUGAAAUUUGGCCAAGUCGAUCAUGCCCGCAAGGUGUUUGAUUCAAUGCCGCAAAGAGACUCUGUCACAUGGAACUCCAUGAUCUCUGGUUACUCGAAAAGCAACCGCAUCAAGGAUGCCGAAGUUCUUUUUAACGUUUGUCAAGAUAAGAAUGUGACAACCUGGACUGCAAUGCUAUCUGGCUAUGCCAAAAAUGGACGAAUUUGGGAGGCUAUUAGACUUUUUGAGGCCAUGCCCGAGAGGAAUAUUGUUUCGUAUAAUGCGAUGAUUAGUGGGUAUUGGGGAAUUGGUGAUUUUGUUAAUGCGAGGAGGUUGUUUGAUGUAAUGUCUGAAAAGAAUGUGUCAACUUGGAAUUCGAUGAUCACAGGGUAUUGCAGGUGUGGGAGAGUAUACGAGGCUCAUGCUUUGUUUGAUGAAAUGCCGGAGAGGAAUUCAGUUUCAUGGGUGGUGAUGAUUUCUGGGUAUGUGGAGAUAGGUCAGUUUGAGGAAGCUUGGGCUUUAUUUUUGGAGAUUCAUAGAUGGAGAGAGGUAAAGCUAGACCAGGCUGUAAUUGUGGUUACUUUGUCCACUGCAACAGGAUUGGAUGAUGUGGAGUUGGUUAAGAGCUUGAUGGCAUUGGUGAUGAAGAUCGGAUACGACAAAGAUGUGGUGGUGGGGACUGCGACUUUGAAUGGUUUGACAAGGAAUGGGAGUUUGGACUCUGCUAUCAAAUUUUUUGAGGGAAUGCAAGAGAGGAAUGACUAUGCCUACACUACGAUGAUCACAGCCUUUUCAGAAUGUGGAAGGUUGGAAGAUGCCAUUGCACUGUAUAGACAAGUUCCUGAUGUAACUGUUGAUAUAAGAACGGCAAUGAUGAGUAGCUAUGCUCAAAAUGGGAUGUUAAAUGAAGCGAGAAUUUUAUUUGAUGAGAUUAGGAACCCAAAUGUUGUUACGUGGAAUGCGAUGCUCACGGGAUAUGCGCAAAAUGGGAUGGUUGAGGAGGCCAAAAACCUGUUUGCAAGGAUGCCUGUGAGAAAUAUAGUUUCUUGGGGGGCGAUGAUCUCUGGGCUCGUGCAGAGUGGACAGAAUAGAGAAGCUUUGGAGGUAUUAGUUCAGCUACAUAGGUCAGGCACUGCACCUAGUUGUUCUAGUUUCACUAGUGCUCUCCUGGCAUGUAGUAACUGUGGAGAUUAUGAAGUUGGUAGGCAGAUACAUUCUCUUGUUUUUAAAUUAGGUUAUCAAUACAAUACCUACAUAGGAAAUGGGUUGAUUUCCAUGUAUGCUAAAUCCAAGAAUAUGGAAGUCAGUUCUCUGGCUUUUAGUUCUAUGAGUGAGAGAGAUAUAGUCUCUUGGAAUUCUCUCAUAAUUGGUUUCUCUGAGAAUGACAUGCUGGAUUGUGCUUUAAAGACAUUCCUGAAGAUGCCAAAACAUAACAUGGUAUCCUGGAAUUCUAUGUUAGCAGCUUAUGUGCAAGCUGGGGAAGGAGAAUUUGUUUGUCAACUAUUCCUCGACAUGUUAGGCCAGGAUGUAAAACCAAGUGAGCUAACUUUUCCAUACCUCCUUAGUGUUAGCGGGAGCCUAUGUGCAGUCAAGCUCGGAAAACAGAUCCAUGCCCUUAUUUUUAAACUUGGAUGGGCUUCCCAUCUCUUUGUUGGUAAUGCUUUGAUCAAUAUGUACUUUAAGUUUGGCUCUAAGGAUGGUUUUUUGGCUUUUGAAAGUAUGCAAGAGCGAGAUCUGGUCACAUGGAAUACUGUUUUGACUGGCUGUGGUGAGAAUGGAUUUGUUGAAGAUGCUAUCCAAAUUUUCCAGAAAAUGGAAGGUGAAGGAUUUGUUCCUGAUCAGGUUAGUUUUCUGGGGCUUCUUUGUGCUUGUGGCCGUGCAGGGUUAGUAGCUGAAGGGUUGGCCUACUUUAGUUCCAUGAUUCAGUAUUACCUGAUUGCACCCACAAUCUAUCACUACACUGCUCUGGUGGAUCUUCUCGGCAGAGCUGGGCGACUCUCUGAGGCUGAGUCCAUUAUUGACAAGAUGCCUUUGGAGCCAGAUGCCGUGAUUUUGGAAGUUCUUCUAGCUGCAUGUAGAAUCCACAAUAACAUCAAACUUGGCCAGAAAAUUGCAGGAAGACUUCUUCAGAUUGGUGGAAAGGUGUCAACCGCUUGUACAAGCUCUUGUGUUGGUUAAGAAAUGGGCAAAGCGUCAUGAUAAGGAAAAACUGUCAGAGCAGAAGAAAUUGGUUUACAGCGUGGUAUAACUGGACCAGAAAAGGUGCUAGAGGUUAUAGUAACUGGCAUUGAUUAUGCCAGAAAGGCAGAAACUGUCCCUUUUUGGAACUCCAACUUUUCGGUAGACUUUUCAUAUGUUGCUGCAUCAGAGGAUAGAAAUGCACUGGAAAGCUCUUUCAUUUCAGCAUUUGAAGGUACUUGUGCCAGUGGUUUAGGUAUGAAUAAUAUUGCUGUACUGCUUUAGAGGGUGAAAGGUUUGAAAAUCUCAUAAAUUUUUUUCUGCUUUUUGGUUGCAAGGAAAAUUGGCGAUUAUGUAUCAUUUUUUGGGGUGUUAAUGUUUUCUGUGGAAAUUAUAUAAUUUAUUUCUUCCUGUGACAUAAGCAUAUUUGAUUGUGUCCUGCAGGGUGCAUCCAGACUGAAUUCUAAUGUGAUUUGCCUCUUUCUGAGGGUAUAAAUAUAAAAAUGCAUGUGGCUUAUGUAUCUUUUAUCAACAAAACUAUUGUUUAGCUUUAAAAGCUGAUGUUGAAGAAUUGGAACUCUUGUGCAGCUCAAUUUUAUCUCUGUUCUUCAGCUUUGUGGAGUAUUUGGAAGUAUACCGUUCUACAUGUAUCUGCUCUAAAUGGCUAUAUCCAGUAUCUUCUCACAAGGAUCUGAGAAGAUUUCUAGCUAAGGGAAUGGAUCAACCAAUUGAAGAAGAUCUUAUGGAGUUUCUCCAAUUAAGUCCUCAAUUUUGGAGGAUUUCUUACUGGGAAGUCAGCCAGGUAGAAGCCAUAGCCUGGCAGUUGAUGCACACAGUCUACAGAUUUUAUUUCCUGAUAGUUCAGGAUUUGCCAGUUUCUGAAAUCAUGCAUUGGGAUGUAUUAGGCUAUGGUUUUGCUCACAGACUUAGUAUGGGGCUACUGCUGCAUGGCGAGAAGUGAUGCUCCGACAAGAUUUGAAGCUCCUCGAGAUUCUCAAUUAGGAGGAGUUUUGCAGUACAAGUUUUGGUGACAUCAGUAAUUGGCAAGAUCAAUGGACUUGUUCUUGUAAUUUUUGUUUAUGGAUGGCAACAAUUAGGGUAAAACCCAAUACCCAUUGAUACACGACCUGAUGAUUAGUUCGAUUGUACGAGCAAUGGGUUAUCCAUUAGAGUUUGGUAUUGGGGAGGGGGGGCUACUUGUACCAUUUAGUUGUUGUUUCAAGUUGAUCAUUUGGCCACGAUCUUUGAAGUGAUUUUUUUCUAAGUUGCAUAUCGUAUGAUUGUAAAUCAUGGCUCUAACCUAUGGUUUUAUUAUAAUGGAAUGUUUUUAUCUUAAUGUACUAA